rnacentral:rRNA from 1 species
UAAUACGAAGGGAUCUAGCGUUGUUCGGAUUUACUGGGCGUAAAGGGCGCGUAGGCGGUCUAGCAAGUAAGGUGUGAAAGCCCUGAGCUUAACUCGGGAACUGCACUUUAAACUACUAGGCUAGAGUAUGGGAGAGGUAAGUGGAAUUUCCAGUGUAGAGGUAAAAUUCGUAGAUAUUGGAAAGAACACCAGUGGCGAAGGCGACUUACUGGACCAUUACUGACGCUGAGGCGCGAAAGCGUGGGGAGCAAACAGG